CCUACGGGUGGCAGCAGUGAGGAAUAUUGGUCAAUGGGCGCGAGCCUGAACCAGCCAAGUAGCGUGAAGGAAGACUGCCCUACGGGUUGUAAACUUCUUUUAUAAAGGAAUAAAGUGAGGCAUGCGUGCCUAUUUGUCUGUACUUUAUGAAUAAGGAUCGGCUAACUCCGUGCCAGCAGCCGCGGUAAUAUGGAGGAUCCGAGCGUUUGCCGGUUUUAUUGGGUUUAAAGGGAGCGUAGAUGGGUUGUUAAGUCAGUUGUGAAAGUUCGCGGCUCAACCGUAAAAUUGCAAUUGAUACUGGCCGUCGUGAGUACAGUUGAGGUAGGCGGAAUUCGUGGUGUAGCGGUGAAAUGCUUAGAUAUCACGAAGAACUCCGAUUGCGAAGGCAGCUUACUAAACUGCCACUGACAUUGAUGCUCGAAAGUGUGGGUAUCAAACAGGAUUAGAUACCCCGGUAGUC
rnacentral:rRNA from 1 species